UGAAGCGGCAAAAGCUCAAAUUUGAAAUCUGGCGCCUUCGGUGUCCGAGUUGUAAUUUGAAGAAGGUAACUUUGGAGUUGGCUCUUGUCUAUGUUCCUUGGAACAGGACGUCACAGAGGGUGAGAAUCCCGUGCGAUGAGAUGCCCAAUUCUAUGUAAAGUGCUUUCGAAGAGUCGAGUUGUUUGGGAAUGCAGCUCUAAGUGGGUGGUAAAUUCCAUCUAAAGCUAAAUAUUGGCGAGAGACCGAUAGCGAACAAGUACAGUGAUGGAAAGAUGAAAAGAACUUUGAAAAGAGAGUGAAAAAGUACGUGAAAUUGUUGAAAGGGAAGGGCUUGAGAUCAGACUUGGUAUUUUGCGAUCCUUUCCUUCUUGGUUGGGUUCUCCGCAGCUUACUGGGCCAGCAUCGGUUUGGAUGGUAGGAUAAUGAUUAAGGAAUGUGGCUCUACUUCGGUGGAGUGUUAUAGCCUUGGUUGAUACUGCCUGUCUAGACCGAGGACUGCGUCUUUGACUAGGAUGCUGGCAUAAUGAUCUUAAGCCACCCGUCUUGU
rnacentral:rRNA from 1 species